AAGAAAGCAUCUGCCACCUGUCUGGGGACUCGUUUGGGGAAUGAAAUACCGACUUGGCGCGCAGAAAUGGUCAGUCCUCCCUCUGGCCAGCUGAGCUCUGAGCAGGUCGUUGACUCACAGCAGGUCACCCACCCUGCUGGCACAGCAUGAAGCAUUAUCUGGUCAUAGAGGUUGCCUGGUUCAGAACUCUGAACCUCUCAGCACAGAUUCUGACAUCCAGGGGAUCAGCACCAGUUUUGGAUCAGCCCACUUCGUCCAUCUCUGCAACAGCAAGAAGCUGAAUCUGGCCUGACGGACUUCUCUGUGCUGCCACAGAAAUGAGCUGCUGGGAGACCAGCACAAUAACCUGGGACUCGCUCCAGGACGCUGCAAUUUACUUUCACAGAGCAGCAGCAGCAGUCAUCUGAAACACCACAAAGCCCCGUGCAGUUUGCACUGGACGCAAGACAGCCCACAGAUGGAUUACACAGGCCAACACCAUCAUCGUUUCAGCAAGGGGAUUUGGGGAGCAGCAGCAUCUGGCAAGAGGCUCUGAAUGCCCUGCAGGACUCUGUGUUACCAUGUCACCUAGUUUCUGCAGGGGUACAUCGAUGCUCCAGGGACUACACUGCGGCAGAUUCCCACCUACCCCUGAAGAAGCUCACAGAAAAGCCUGUUCAUGUACGUGAACUAGCAUCACCAUCUCUAACCCUGUCCUAUUUCAAGCUAAUAAAAAUGCAAGACAGCAGCAAUAUUGUGGCCAUGGGAGAUCUAUUCUACGUAGAGACAUUCAUCAGCAGAUGCAAUAUAAUUAUCUAUGCCUGGUACUGUCUCCUUGUAGAUCCAGGCACAUUCUAAUACAAGUUUGUUUGUUUUUUAAAGCAUCAGUCCUGACACCAAGCAGCUCAUUAAUGGUAGAAGGUCCUGUCACUACAGAAACUCACUCAAGGAGGGCAGUAGCUGUGCUCCUCUGACUGCCUUGCUGGAUAGUCCAAAGUACACCUAGGUUGGGAUCCACUUUUGGUUGGGAGGUCUGACAGGUGAAUUUCUUAGGCAUCGCUCAGACACUGUAAGCUUUAAAUCACAACAGCAUCGCUGCACAAAGGAGCUCAUUCUUACCCU